rnacentral:rRNA from 1 species
GAUGAACGCUGGCGGCGUGCCUAACACAUGCCAGUCGAGCGAACGGACGAGAAGCUUGCUUCUCUGAUGUUAGCGGCGGACGGGCGAGUAACACGUGGAUAACCUACCUAUAAGACUGGGAUAACUUCGGGAAACCGCAGCUAAUACCGGCUAAUAUUUUGAACCGCAUGGUUCAAAAGUGAAAGACGGUCUUGCUGUCACUUAUAGAUGGAUCCGCGCUGCAUUAGCUAGUUGGUAAGGUAACGGCUUACCAAGGCAACGAUGCAUAGCUGACCUGAGAGGGUGAUCAGCCACACUGGAACUGAGACACGGUCCAGACUCCUACGGGAGGCAGCAGUGGGGAAUAUUCCGCAAUGGGCGAAAGCCUGACGGAGCAACGCCGCGUGAGUGAUGAAGGUCUUCGGAUCGUAAAGCUCUGUUAUUAGGAAAGAACAGAUGUAUAAGUAACUGUGCAUGUCUUGACGGUACCUAAUCAGAAAGCCACGGCUAACUACGUG